CUGGGAAAAUUUGCCAGAUGUUUCAUUCCACUGUGUUCUUCUGGCAGGUCUACAAGAUAUAAUGCUGAGAAAGGCUAAUAAAUCAAGGUGACUGUCUUGUGGUCUGGUGAUGGCUGCUUCCAGUUUGAGGGUGACUUGGAGCAGAGCCCCUACCUACCCUUGAUGGACAUGGAGAAAGACUUUGGGAAAAAUCUACUUUAAGACCCUUAAGAGUAAAGAAAGGGUUAUAAGCAGUUGCCUAUUGAACUGUAUUCUCUUCAAAUGGCAAGCUUUCCUACAGUUCCGUGAAUGCUGAGAGACACGAAGAGAGUGGUUGCCAGGGUGAAAUGAGAAAGCCCUCCUGCCAGCUUCCACCAAAAAGGUAUGCGUGGCACUUUUCUCCAAAUUUGGACUCGAGAGAUUAUGAUUAUCCAACAAAUUUGGAUUCAAUAAUUCUCCAAUAACUGAAAUGUCACAUAGCUCAUGGUGAGACAGCUAAAAAGUUGAAAAGUGAACUGGCAGAGCAUAGAAAAGAAAUAGAAGAGGAAAAUCAAACCAUCGCAAAGAAGAUAUCCACAUAAAGAAAAUACAAAGAGCAAGAAGUUGGAUGGAAAAUGUUGUCAGAACAUGGAUAACAGACCUGAGGGAGUGAUCAUUUUAGAAUCAUAAGAUACAAUUUUAAAAAAAUAAAGUGAGAGCAAUACGGUGAAAACUAUGAAAGGCAGAAGAUAGACAAAGGCAAUCAUAGGUACAUGAAAGUAGAUGUCCAUUUCAUAGGUAUCAUGGACUGAGUGUUUGUGUCCCCCUCUCCCCAAGUUCAUAUAUUGAAGCCCUAAUCCCUAGGGUUUGUAUUUGGAGAUAUGCCUCUGAGGGGGUAAUUAAGGUUAAAAUAAAUGAGGUCAUAAGGGUAGGGCCGUGAUCCAAUGGUAUGUGCCCUUACAAGAGGAAACCCCAGAGAGCUCGCACUCUGUCUCUGUCUCUGUCUCACUCUUGCUCUCUCACUCUCGACCAUGUGAGCACACGGUGAGGAGAUGGCCAUCUGUAAGCCAGAAGACGCUCACCAGAAUCCAGCCAUGAUGACACCCUGAUCUCAUACUUGCAGACUCCAGAACUGUGAGAAGUUAAUGUCUGUCAUUUAAGCCACACAGUCAUUUCGUUACAGCGGCCCAAGCUGACUUACACAAGAGGUGAGAAAAUUUAGGCACAAAGAGAUUAAGUAACGUGGCCAAGUUCUCUUACAAGGUCAGCAGCAGAGCUGAUGUUUGACACCUGCAGUGCGGUUCCAGGGUCCAUGUUCCAAACUGCUGUCUUCUACAGCCUCUCAUGGGAUACAAAACAAAUGGAGUCUGAAAAUAUUCAGAGAUCUAAUAAAAGAAAGUUUUGUUGAAAUGUUAGGAGGAAUGGUAAAAUAUCGUAUGGCAUUUACCAUGUCAGGCUAUACAAAGCAGCUGACAACAGAAAACCUGAUGAAGUGAUCUACAUCAAAGUAACUCAUGAUAAAGGAUUUUUAAAAAAGAAUCUUGUGGCACCCAAGCAAAUCAUAAGUAUGAGAAAAAUAUGAGUGAACUCACACUACUCCAUGACAACAUUUAAUGAUAAGCUACAUUGACCACUCAUGAAAAAUCCAUAUGAAAAAUAAUUUUGAUUGCUUUAUUUUUAUGUUUACCUUAAUUUACACUUCUGGCCCAAACAAUUGCAUAUAUAAUAUGAAAAUUACAUUUUAUGUUAAUUUUUUAUUUCACUACUGUCAGUGGAAUACAAAUUAUGUGAAUAUUUCAAUUAUAAAAACAUAAUAUGUGACUUGGCUAAAAUAC